AGACUGUAAAUCAUGUUGAUUUCUAAGUAUUGAAAUAAGAUUAUACAUGGUGUAGACAAAUAUAUACUUUUAGUAUAUGUAUUUAUUUCCGUCUAUAUAGUUUUCUUCUAAAAGAAUUAUUAUAUACAGAAAUUCUGAGAGCCAUAAAUCUGGUUUUUCUAUAUAUACUAUGAUAUCUUUUGAAUAAAUCAAAAUUUCAAAAAAUAAGACCCAAAAGGAAAAAAGAAAAAUUGAAGCCCUAACCCGCGUCUCCUGGUUCGUCCUCCUCGGCGCAAGUACGCUUCUCCCUUCCGCUUCAUCUUCUUCCUUCGCACCUGCUUCCUUAGCGCAGUGACUCCUCGAUGCUUUUCGAUUGUGUAUUUGAAGUUCUCCUCUUUCUUUUUUAGGUAAAGCAACAAGAAGAGCUGCGAAGAUUCAAAUUAACAUGUCUGGAAGGAAAGAGACGGUGCUGGAUUUGGCAAAGUUUGUGGAUAAAGGAGUUCAAGUCAAGCUUACUGGUGGCAGACAAGUGACAGGAACUCUAAAGGGCUAUGAUCAAUUGUUAAAUCUUGUCCUGGAUGAAGCGGUGGAGUUUCUUAGAGGUUUGCAGGGGAACAGCCGUUAUGCUUGUUUCGCCAACUGACGGUACAGAUGAAAUAGCCAACCCUUUCAUCCAGCCAGAUGGGGCUUAGAAACUUACCAAUCUGGUGUCGUUUUGCUUUGAAUUGGUAUGCUGUUGUCUGUUAAUCCAUUACAAUUUAGGACACUGGAUCUGUAGGGAACAUGAUAUUUGAUAAGCUUGAGAUUACUGUACUUGUUUCCCUAGGAUUUGAUCAUCCAUAAAAGCAAUCGUUCAAACUAUUUUUUUACUGUCCUUUUUGUUUUUAACACUCAAAAAUUAAUUGUCUUCUAUGUGUGGGACGUUAUCUGGGAAAA